CAAAAAGGGAAGUUUAUUAAGUACCAAGUCACAUGAUCAUAAGGUUUCGCAAUGGGCUGUCUGCAGGCUGAGGAACAAGGAGAGCCAGUUCGAGUUCCAAAACUAAAGAACUUGGAGUCUGAUGUUCAAGGGCAGGAAGCAUCCAGCGUGGAAGAAAGAUACACGCUGAGGAUCAAUACUUUGUAUCGUUCAGUACAAUCAAGUUGAUACUUAGUAUUAACCAUCUCUGCAAGUUAUUAAAGAAAAUGAUCUGAUCUGAUGAGUCGAAGACCAUGUUACUUGAUCUGGUUCAGCUUAGAUACUUCAUGUUAAAAUCUGAUAUGGUUACAACCUCUCAGAUGCCUUCAGGACCCAGGCAAAUGGAAGAAAUGUAUGAACAGAAAGCUCAUGUGUCAGAAAGUAGGGAGUCAUGGGCUGGGUGGAGAAUUGGACAAUAUAUGUCCACUUCCAGGUAUAUAUCCAAAGGAACUGAAAUCAGUGUGUUGAAGAGAUACCUGCACCCCAUGCUCACUGCAGCAUAAUUCACAGGGAACAAUCUAAGUGACCAUCAACAGAUGAGUGAGUAUAGAGCAUGUGGUAUAUUUUACUUAAAAUAACUUCUUCAGUGAUUUUCUCUUAGCUUUUUGAAGCAAGAAUCUGUAACUUCUAUUAUAGGAUAAUCCAAGCCACUGCCAAUAAAAUAAUCAAAAAACAAAAACAAGACUAACCAGCUCUAUGGCUUUGAAUUGGUUACUAACCUUCAUGAUCAGGGUACAAAAUUCUUACAGUCAAGGACUACUUAUAUCUCUGUGCCUUGCUAUGAAUAGAAAAAUGUUUGACCUAAACAUAGUGAAUACUCAAAAAUAAUUAAGUCAG
rnacentral:lncRNA from 1 species